GUCGUCGCCUCGGCCUCGUCAGUCAUUCUAACGCGUGAUGUUCCCCAGGCAAUUCUAUUCGUUCUCUGCUAGUUUCUUCCCAAGACGAGCGCCGAUGACACCGCCCCUGCCGCCUCCUCCCUUGAAGUGCCAUGCCGGCAGGAUUAAUGGAGGGAACUCAUCCAAUUUUAUCCAUCUCGAGCAACUUGUCUGCAGUUUGCAACGAUCUACACCAAAUCAGCUCCUGUUGCCCGUUGCAUCCAUGGUGUUCUUUUUUCAGAGAACAGAGUUUGAGGACUGAGGUAAUUCAUGCUUCAAUAACACAGUUUCAGAUAAUCGGAUUUUGAUCAUUUGCACAUCAAAGGCCCCCUAAAUGUGAGGACCGGCACUGCUUGUUCUUCCCGACGGCGAAGUCCACCCCGAUCCUCAGCCCUCUCCGGCCCCAACAAUGACGACGCGGACGACGAAAUCGAACAUGUCGAGGAAGCGGCGGUAGGAGAGUAGACGAAGCGCUCGCCGCUGCGCUGGGCGAGGCCAGCGACGAAGUGGUCGACUGGUCGUUGAGGCCAAGGUUGAGGACGGUGUCCGUCAUGCUCGGCAUGGAGACGGCGGCGCCGGAGCCCCCGCCCCGCUUAUUAAGUGAGUCAUUAUUUGACUUAUUAAGUGAUUUAAUUCUCUGUAAGCUGCAAUUACAUAACCAAAACAUUAUGACUAUUUAUCGGAUAUUGGCAUGCAUGCAUGCAGCGUAGCAACAUAUAGUAUACAUAUAAACAACUUUAGUUUAGACAAUCAAUUCAUGACUUUGAAGGUAGCUAGGCAGAGUUGAGUACCAUGGCAAGCAGGCAUGGCGCUGUCUAAUUAAUUCCAGUUGUAAUUCUCCUAUUUGAUCUUUGUCAUUU